rnacentral:rRNA from 1 species
AUUGAACGCUGGCGGCAGGCCUAACACAUGCAAGUCGAGCGAGCGGCGGACGGGUGAGGAAUGUCUGGGAAACUGCCUGAUGGAGGGGGAUAACUACUGGAAUCGGUAGCUAAUACCGCAUACCAUCAGAGGUGCCCAGAUGGGAUUAGCUAGUAGGUGGGGUAAAGGCUCACCUAGGCGAAGAUCCCUAGCUGGUCUGAGAGGAUGACCAGCCACACUGGAACUGAGACACGGUCCAGACUCCGACGGGAGGCAGCAGUGGGGAAUAGUGCACAAUGGGCGCAAGCCUAAUGCAGCCAUGCCGCGUGUGUGAAGAAGGCCUUCGGGUUGUAAAGCACUUUCAGCGGGGAGGCGUUACCCGCAGAAGAAGCACCGGCUAACUCCGUGCCAGCAGCCGCGGUAAUUC